rnacentral:tRNA from 1 species
GGGCCCAUAGUCUAGUGGUUAUGUGGCAAAACCAUACCGCUGAUGACAUCACAUUCACACUGUGAAGGUCGAGGGUUCGAACCCCUCUGGGCCCA